GAUCCUGGCUCAGAUUGAACGCUGGCGGCGUGCCUAACACAUGCAAGUCGAGCGGCAGCACGGGGAGCAAUCCUGGUGGCGAGCGGCGGACGGGUGAGUAAUGCUUUGGAAUCUGCCCAUCAAUGGGGGACAACCCGGGGGAAACUCGGGCUAAUACCGCAUACGUCCUACGGGAGAAAGCGGGGGAUCGCAAGACCUCGCGUUGAUGGAUGAGCCAAAGUCGGAUUAGCUAGUUGGUAGGGUAAAGGCCUACCAAGGCGACGAUCUGUAGCGGGUCUGAGAGGACGACCAGCCACACUGGGACUGAGACACGGCCCAGACUCCUACGGGAGGCAGCAGUGGGGAAUAUUGGGCAAUGGAGGAAACUCUGACCCAGCGACGCCGCGUGCGGGAUGAAGGCCUUCGGGUUGUAAACUGCUUUUGUACGGAACGAAAAGGUUUCUCUUAAUACGAGGAGCUCAUGACGGUACCGUAAGAAUAAGCACCGGCUAACUACGUG
rnacentral:rRNA from 1 species